UCAUGGCUCAGGAUGAACGCUGGCGGCGUGCCUAAUACAUGCAAGUCGAGCGAACGGACGAGAAGCUUGCUUCUCUGAUGUUAGCGGCGGACGGGUGAGUAACACGUGGAUAACCUACCUAUAAGACUGGGAUAACUUCGGGAAACCGGAGCUAAUACCGGAUAAUAUUUUGAACCGCAUGGUUCAAAAGUGAAAGACGGUCUUGCUGUCACUUAUAGAUGGAUCCGCGCUGCAUUAGCUAGUUGGUAAGGUAACGGCUUACCAAGGCAACGAUGCAUAGCCGACCUGAGAGGGUGAUCGGCCACACUGGAACUGAGACACGGUCCAGACUCCUACGGGAGGCAGCAGUAGGGAAUCUUCCGCAAUGGGCGAAAGCCUGACGGAGCAACGCCGCGUGAGUGAUGAAGGUCUUCGGAUCGUAAAACUCUGUUAUUAGGGAAGAACAUAUGUGUAAGUAACUGUGCACAUCUUGACGGUACCUAAUCAGAAAGCCACGGCUAACUACGUGCCAGCAGCCGCGGUAAUACGUAGGUGGCAAGCGUUAUCCGGAAUUAUUGGGCGUAAAGCGCGCGUAGGCGGUUUUUUAAGUCUGAUGUGAAAGCCCACGGCUCAACCGUGGAGGGUCAUUGGAAACUGGAAAACUUGAGUGCAGAAGAGGAAAGUGGAAUUCCAUGUGUAGCGGUGAAAUGCGCAGAGAUAUGGAGGAACACCAGUGGCGAAGGCGACUUUCUGGUCUGUAACUGACGCUGAUGUGCGAAAGCGUGGGGAUCAAACAGGAUUAGAUACCCUGGUAGUCCACGCCGUAAACGAUGAGUGCUAAGUGUUAGGGGGUUUCCGCCCCUUAGUGCUGCAGCUAACGCAUUAAGCACUCCGCCGGGGGAG
rnacentral:rRNA from 1 species